GGCUCAGAUUGAACGCUGGCGGCAGGCCUAACACAUGCAAGUCGAGCGGAUGAAGGGAGCUUGCUCCUGGAUUCAGCGGCGGACGGGUGAGUAAUGCCUAGGAAUCUGCCUGGUAGUGGGGGACAACGUUUCGAAAGGAACGCUAAUACCGCAUACGUCCUACGGGAGAAAGCAGGGGACCUUCGGGCCUUGCGCUAUCAGAUGAGCCUAGGUCGGAUUAGCUAGUUGGUGAGGUAAUGGCUCACCAAGGCGACGAUCCGUAACUGGUCUGAGAGGAUGAUCAGUCACACUGGAACUGAGACACGGUCCAGACUCCUACGGGAGGCAGCAGUGGGGAAUAUUGGACAAUGGGCGAAAGCCUGAUCCAGCCAUGCCGCGUGUGUGAAGAAGGUCUUCGGAUUGUAAAGCACUUUAAGUUGGGAGGAAGGGUUGUAGAUUAAUACUCUGCAAUUUUGACGUUACCGACAGAAUAAGCACCGGCUAACUCUGUGCCAGCAGCCGCGGUAAUACAGA
rnacentral:rRNA from 1 species